CCUUGAUCCUACAAGAAGCAGUAAUGAGCAAAGCUUAUUGAGGGGAUACAGUCCUCAUGUCAGUACACUGCCUCACCAGUCAGCACACAAGGAAUGUUCACAGAUGAAAAACAUGUUCUAAGAGCCUACUACCCGCUCUUACCCUACCCCAGCCAAAACAAGCUGAAAGAGAAGGGGAAGCAAGACAAACACAAGCAAGGAAUGAAAAAGCAGAAGCAGCCCGGCUCCACAGAGAGUGUGCUUAAGGAAAGAUGUUAGCUCUGGCACAGGCCUUCCAGGGACUGCAGAUCCACCUUUACAACCCUUUGGAAUAGCACUUCUACUGCUAUGGAGCUGGACACUGAGCAAGCAAGGAACCCAGGAAUCAGCAUAGGGUAUAAUCCCUACUUCUGACCCCUCUGAAGGUGUGAAAGAUUCUGAACCCAGUGGGACCAGCAUGGUUCUUCUAAAGAGGCAGUUGGCUAUAGGAAGUAACUACAGGGAGUCUGCACCUCCAUUAUACUACUGAUCUUCCAAGAUCUGUUGCAAAGGCAUUUUAAGAAGCAGAGGAAACAUGUUCCAGGGAAAGAAGGAGCUGGUUUGAUGGAUGGUAGGGAAAACUCUAAAGUGAUAACAGCGGCUGUUGGCUCACGUCUAACCUGGACCAUACACUAUUCUGUGAUGCUAGGACUGAAAGCCAAGAUCAUGGUCAUGCCAGGAUACCAAAAGAAAUGU